rnacentral:hammerhead_ribozyme from 1 species
AUCCAGUCGAUGAGUCUGAAAUAGGACGAAACGCGCUUCAGACAGGAU